UCUCUGAUAGUAUAUCGGUUAGUACACGCGCCUGUCAUUGCAUUGGCUGAAAAUACGCGCGAAAGCUGGGUUCGACUCCCAGUCAGAGAG
rnacentral:tRNA from 1 species